UACGGGGGGGCAAGCGUUGUUCGGAAUUACUGGGCGUAAAGGGCUCGUAGGCGGCCAACUCAGUCAGACGUGAAAUCCCUCGGCUUAACCGGGGAACUGCGUCUGAUACUGGAUGGCUUGAGUUUGGGAGAGGGAUGCGGAAUUCCAGGUGUAGCGGUGAAAUGCGUAGAUAUCUGGAGGAACACCGGUGGCGAAGGCGGCAUCCUGGACCAACACUGACGCUGAGGAGCGAAAGCCAGGGGAGCAAACGGG
rnacentral:rRNA from 1 species